GACAGAGGUGCCGAGCGUUAGGCGGAAUCACUGGGCUUAAAGCGUGUGUAGGCGGGCCGUUAAGUGUCUUGUGAAAUCCCCCGACUCAACCGGGGAAUUGCUGGGCAUACUGGCGGUCUUGAGCAGUCUAGGGGCAGAUGGAACAAGUGGUGGAGCGGUGAAAUGCGUAGAUAUCACUUGGAACGCCAAAGGUGAAGACAGUCUGCUGGGGACUUGCUGACGCUGAGACACGAAAGCCAGGGGAGCGAACGGG
rnacentral:rRNA from 1 species